UUACAAGCAGUCGGAGACCGCUUAAUAAUAAGGUCGACGGCGUGCCUAUUGAAGAAUGAACCGGCGAGUUACGAAGCCUGGCAAGGUUAAGCAGGAAAUGCGGAGCCGAAGCGAAAGCGAGUCUUAAGAGGGCGCAAGUCAGGAAGCGUAGACCCGAAACCACAGUGAUCUACCCAUGUCCAGGUUGAAACACAGGUAAAAAUGUGUGGAGGACCGAACCUAUAUCCGUUGAAAAGGGUUAGGAUGAGGUGUGGGUAGGGGUGAAAUUCCAAUCGAACGUGGAGAUAGCUGGUUCUCCCCGAAAUAGCUUUAGGGCUAGCCUCAGGGAAAAGAUUGCAGGCGGUAGAGCACUGAUCAGGAGAGGGACCUACCCGGUUACCAAACCCAGUCAAACUCCGAAUGGCUGCAAUCAUACCUGGGAGUCAGACUGCGACUAAUAAGGGCCGCAGUCAAAAGGGAAACAGCCCAGACCAUCAGCUAAGGUCCCCAAUGCCGUGCUAAGUGGCAAAGGAUGUGGCAUUUCAUAAACAACCAGGAUGUUGGCUCAGAAGCAGCCACCAUUUAAAGAGUGCGUAAUAGCUCACUGGUCGAGAGACGCUGCGCCGAAAAUGUCCGGGGCUCAAGCACGGAACCGAAGCUAUGGCAUGAUAGCAAUAUCAUGGGUAGGGGAGCGUUCUUAUAAGGAAGAAGCAUGACCGGAAGGACAUGUGGACAAAUAAGAAGUGAGAAUGCCGGUAUGAGUAUCGAAAAGAAAGGUGAGAAUCCUUUCCACCGAAAGCCCGAGGGUUCCUGAGCAACGAUCGUCGACUCAGGGUAAGUCGGGACCUAAGCCGAGGCGAGAAGCGUAGGCGAUGGACAACAGGUUGAAAUUCCUGUACCGGAUCAAGUCGAUCGAGCGAAGGAGCGACGCAGGAGGGCACAUGAUCGCGCGGCUGGAAGAGCGCGUCCAAGUGCGUAUGUUGCUGCAGAGGAAAACCCCUGCAGCUAAAAGCAGAGACAUGAAGGGGAGUUAAAGGAAACUUUGACGAACUCAUGGAUCCCACACUGCCAAGAAAAACUUCUAGCGAGACAAGAUCCGCCCGUACCGUAAACCGACACAGGUAGGCGGGGAGAGAAUCCUAAGGUGCGCGGGAAAACCCUCGUUAAGGAACUCGGCAAAUUGCAUCCGUAACCUAGGGAGAAGGAUGGCCCCCGGUCAGUGAAGAGCAGAAACGCUCAGAGCUAAAAGGGGCGGCAGAAAAGAGGCCCAAGCAACUGUUUACCAAAAACACAGGUGCCUGCGAAAGCGAAAGCUGAAGUAUAGGUGCUGACGCCUGCCCGGUGCCGGAAGGUUAAGGAGAGAAGUUAGCGAAAGCGAAGCAUCGAACUGAAGCCCCGGUGAACGGCGGCCGUAACUAUAACGGUCCUAAGGUAGCGAAAUUCCUUGUCGGGUAAGUUCCG
rnacentral:rRNA from 1 species